UGGGGAAUAUUGCACAAUGGAGGGAACUCUGAUGCAGCGACGCCGCGUGAGUGAUGAAGGAAUUCGUUUCGUAAAACUCUGUUCUAUGGGAAGAAAAGGACUGUACCAUAGGAGAAAGCUCCGGCUAAAUACGUGCCAGCAGCCGCGGUAAUACGUAUGGAGCGAGCGUUGUCCGGAAUUAUUGGGCGUAAAGGGUGCGCAGGCGGCUUUACAAGUUGGAUGUGAAAUAUUGUGGCUCAACCAAAAACGUGCAUCCAAAACUGCAAAGCUUGAGUUAAGGAGAGGUAAGUGGAAUUCCUGGUGUAGCGGUGGAAUGCGUAGAUAUCAGGAGGAAUACCGGUGGCGAAGGCGACUUACUGGACUUAAACUGACGCUCAGGCACGAAAGCGUGGGGAGCAAACAGG
rnacentral:rRNA from 1 species